rnacentral:rRNA from 1 species
AGAGUUUGAUCCUGGCUCAGGAUGAACGCUAGCGGCAGGCCUAAUACAUGCAAGUCGGACGGGAUUUGGGAGCUUGCUCCUAAUAAGAGUGGCGCACGGGUGCGUAACACGUAUGUAACCUACCUUUAUCAGGGGGAUAGCCUCUCGAAAGAGAGAUUAAGCCCGCAUAACAUGGAGAUGCAGCAUUGCAAUUCCAUCAAAUAUUUAUAGGAUAAAGAUGGGCAUGCGGAACAUUAGCUAGUUGGUAAGGUAACGGCUUACCAAGGCUACGAUGUUUAGGGGAUCUGAGAGGAUGACCCCCCACACUGGUACUGAGACACGGACCAGACUCCUACGGGAGGCAGCAGUAAGGAAUAUUGGUCAAUGGGCGGAAGCCUGAACCAGCCAUGCCGCGUGCAGGAAGACGGCCCUACGGGUUGUAAACUGCUUUUGUACCGGAA